UAGAGUGGCAGUUCCUUUGCCUCCAGAGCGGACUUUCAAAUUAUUUGCUAGACUGGAUUCUGUGGCAUCGCCUCCUCACUGGAAUCCCUCCCCUCCCGGACAUCGCCCUCAAAUUCCUUUCCGCAAUUUCCCAAGACGGAGUUGGCAAUAGAGGUACCAACCAACAGGCGGGGCCUGGAGUUCUCUCGGAAUUACAGGUGUCCGUGAGAGAGGUUGGAAAACGGCAUGUCUCAUGCUAGCCGGGGAGUGUACUCCUCAAAUACAAGUUGGAGAUGGGUGCCGAGAAUGACCCCCUGACCCUUGAGUGCCAGCUACAUGAAGAUCAAGUAGAACAGGAGAACACCGUGUCUUAAAACAAAGAAUUUGCAGCAUGUAACAAGUGAGAGUCACUGGGCAAAAUAUAAGCAACAAAUUUGGCUGUUGGUGGGAAUGUUGUCUCCAGGCAGAAAAUAUAAACAUACUGAAGCAAACUUUGCUUCUGCCUGGUUAUCACUCAUUCCCCUUCCUCUAUUUGUGUGACCUUUCUGACCCUAUUUCAAGACAGAGUACGCAAUUUUAAAAUGGCUUCCACAAAUGGUAUUAGUUUGUAUACACACAGCAGCUUUUUUAUACUUGUAGGCAAUGAUGAAAAGCUAUCAUUGGUCAUAGAAUACACAUUGCUUGUUUUGUUUUAUUCUGCCAUCAUCUUUGUCAAAUGUUUCUUAAAAUGAUUGUAGAGAAGUUUAAAAUAUUCCCCCUCACAUACAAAUCAUGGCCCACACUCUGCAAUUCGUUUAAUUACAGUCUGAAUAUCCCACUCUCUGUAGCGGUGAAAAGCCUUCAAACUGUGUUACUCUCAUUGAGACACUGGAGUAGAAUUUAAAGAUAAACACAAUCUGGGAGGAAAACAAAACAAAUAAGAAUCCCUGCUGAUUGGGCCAGUUAAUAAACAGCCUGAUUUUAUCCCUAGGAUAAAUCUUAUAUAUUCAUUAGGGUUUAUAAGACUAGAGUUAUCUGGUAUUGCUUCCUACACUAAUAGUAAAUUUGUUACAUGUCUUUCCAUAGUAGUUGUCCUUUAGCUAAUUUAUCCAUGAAACAGAUCCUACAAAGACUGAAGUUGCAGGACCCUGAUUCUUUACAGUAAACAAUGUAAAAGUUAAAGAUUACACCUGCAUUCCAGGAAAUGUGGAAGGAAUAUCUCUGUGGCAACAUAUGUUGACUGUGAGUUAUAAAAAUUUAGAAAAACAAAUUGCUACAACUUUCUGUGUUUUACUUCAUAGUACAUUUCACUUGGUUUGGUAUAUUUUGCAUAGCAUAUUUUUUGUUAAAAUACCCUAUAAAAAUUCAAAGAUCAAAGAAUCAGGUAAAUAGCCUAACCUAAGUAAGAUUUGAAUUAAAAACAAAACAAUGCCUUUCUAGAUUAGAGAAAGCAAUCCAUGUUAUCAGGCAUGGGGGAGAUUUGCAUAAUUGUUUUGUAACUGCAAGAAAAUGAUGUGAGGAAAUCCCCUGUUGUAUUUUAGCCUUUUAUGUUCUCACUUGGCAGCUGGGAACAAGACAGAGCGGCACCUCAUAUGUCAGCUGUCAGUGAUUGUUCCUUGUAUCCAUGUUGAUACACAGAUUAUGAAAUUACUCCUAAAAAUGGUUUGACUAAAAAUCGGAUGUUUUAAUAGACUUAUGAGAGGAAGUAGUUAAGAAGAGGAAAAUUCUGUAAAUUUCUGGUUAUUCUAUUAAAAAUUUGGAGAAUGGCAGAGUAAACUCACCAUACAGUGACUGAUUUUGGAAACUAUUUUAUCAAAACCUGUUAAUCAAAUCAGAUCAAAAGUUAUCCUGUAAAUACCGAAUAAAACAUUGGAAUGAA